CAGCGAGAGAGAAGGCAGGAAGAAAGGGAAGGAAGACGAGCAAACUCCUCGCGAACCGCUACAGGGAGAUUUCUUUGGUAAAAAAAAAAACUGCAGCCUGCAGGUAGGCAGACAGCCACAGUAACAGUACACACUCAGCUCCACCAUUACACAAGGAGGAGGCUGUGUCGUUUCUAGAAUCACAAGUUUGACCGGCUUUGCUCGAGUUCCAACAACGUCAAGAUGCCGCCAUGCCGGAUACCUCCAGCUACCCCCGACCCCGAGUAGUCAGUGGUAGUAUACAGUACAUUCAAUGUCACCACCACCACCUGCCUGCCUGCCUUCGUCUCAGUUCUCGUUUAUCGCGAUCCAUUCUCAUUUACUUAUGUAAAGUUAAUUUGAGAUACUCUCUCCGUUUUAAAAUAUAACAACUUUUAACUCUUAA